GGCGCGAGGAGCUGCCCCGCCCCCUCCGCCAUCGCCCCCUGUGCGGGACGCCCGGGCCCCCCGCUACAGCCAUCUGCCGCCGCGGCGCUCGCGGGUGGGAGGGUGACGCGGGGACUGCGGCAGGGGCGGCCCGUGCGAAGGCAGCGGGGCGGGCUGGGCCCGGCCCUAGAGUUCAUCCGAGCCGCUUGCUCUACAGAAGCUGUGCUGGAGCCUGUGGAUGGAAUACUCAGCCAAAAUGGAAUUUAGUGUACAGUUUUUCAUUCAGUUGCCAUUUCAGGUCUCAGCUGAGACCCUCAUUGCUGCCAUUCAAGUCAACUUCUGGGACUAAUGUGAUGGCCACUUCUAACCAAAGAGCUGUUAGUCAAAAGUUCUUUUAGGUCGCAAGCUCCAUUAAAGUGAGGAGACAUGACGGACCUGUCCAUCCUAGCCUUAUAUCUAAUAAAAAUGUUUUCAAAG